UUUCCGUAGGUGAACCUGCGGAAGGAUCAUUAUUGAAUAACAGAGCUGCGAGCCCUGUCGCUGACCCGUCAGGUCGUGCACGCCCGAGUGCCCUCACACACAUCCAUCUCACCCCUACGUGCACCACCGCGUGGGUCCCCUCAUGGCUCGUUCGGCGGGGGGCUUACGUCUUCACACAAUCAUUGUAUGCAUAGUACAAUGUAUUCUAUGUCUUUGCGAUCUCGCCAUCAAUACAACUUUCAAGAACGGAUCUCGUGGCUCUCGCGUCGAUAAAGAACG
rnacentral:misc_RNA from 1 species